ACACAUGCAAGUCGAACGAGCGAGAGAGAGCUUGCUUUCUCGAGCGAGUGGCGAACGGGUGAGUAACGCGUGAGGAACCUGCCUCAAAGAGGGGGACAACAGUUGGAAACGACUGCUAAUACCGCAUAAGCCCACAGGUCGGCAUCGACCAGGGGGAAAAGGAGCAAUCCGCUUUGAGAUGGCCUCGCGUCCGAUUAGCUAGUUGGUGAGGUAAUGGCCCACCAAGGCAACGAUCGGUAGCCGGACUGAGAGGUUGAACGGCCACAUUGGGACUGAGACACGGCCCAGACUCCUACGGGAGGCAGCAGUGGGGAAUAUUGCACAAUGGGGGAAACCCUGAUGCAGCGACGCCGCGUGGAGGAAGAAGGUCUUCGGAUUGUAAACUCCUGUUGUUGAGGAAGAUAAUGACGGUACUCAACAAGGAAGUGACGGCUAACUACGUGCCAGCAGCCGCGGUAAAACGUAGGUCACAAGCGUUGUCCGGAAUUACUGGGUGUAAAGGGAGCGCAGGCGGGAAGACAAGUUGGAAGUGAAAUCUAUGGGCUCAACCCAUAAACUGCUUUCAAAACUGUUUUUCUUGAGUAGUGCAGAGGUAGGCGGAAUUCCCGGUGUAGCGGUGGAAUGCGUAGAUAUCGGGAGGAACACCAGUGGCGAAGGCGGCCUACUGGGCACCAACUGACGCUGAGGCUCGAAAGUGUGGGUAGCAAACAGGAUUAGAUACCCUGGUAGUCCACACCGUAAACGAUGAUUACUAGGUGUUGGAGGAUUGACCCCUUCAGUGCCGCAGUUAACACAAUAAGUAAUCCACCUGGGG
rnacentral:rRNA from 1 species